rnacentral:lncRNA from 1 species
GGCAGGCCCGCGUAGAAAGACGUCUUCCCGGGAAGAGGUGGAGGGUGUCCCCAGCACGGGAAAUCUCUUUGCGGAGCCUCCUGACGCAACGUGUAAGACAGGACAGUUAUGGAUUGAGACAAGACCGCGGCGCCAGCUGUACGGGUGAGCUCGGGUUGGGCAUUCACCGCUCGUCCCUGGAAACGCUGCGUCACGUGUCACAUCCUGCCCCUCUCCUAUAGGAGGCAGUGUGGGCGGGGGAGGGCGUGUCUGUGGCAGUCACGCCCCUCCUCCCGGUCAAGUUCAGGUUAUUUUUGUUGAAAGUUUUUACUGGGCGUGCAUCCUCACCUCAGGGAGUCGCAGCGCUCGCUGUGAACACAAAGGGCAUCACCCGAGCAGGUCUGCAGAGCGGCGUGGUUCAUGGGCAACCAAGGUGCCUCGAAAAGAUGAAGUUGUGUCGCCUGGAACUGAGCCCUGGCCCCUGCUCGGCUUGGAAUGAGCAUGGAAAUGGCAGAGUUCUUAUCCCAGAUCAGCUCCCAGCUUUCCAGCCCCCACCCCAUCACGAAAGGUACCAGCCUGUCAUCAUGAAACCACUAAGGCUCGGGGACGCAGGUCUGGCCCACGCAUCCAGUCAGGAGCUAGCUGGGAUCUUCUCACAGGUUGAUUGAUGGUGUCUUUGGGCUCUCUGUUCUGUUUCACUGGACUCUUGACUUCUGCCAGUGCCACAGUGCCUUGGUGACUGAAAUCUUCAUAGUAACUUUUUUAAACGUCCUAUAUUGAUAUUUACUUAGUUUACGUUUACAAAGUGUCUUUCCUGAAUAUGAUUUUAAAUGCUGCACGCAUGCAGUACCCAUGGAGGCCAGAAGAGGGCGCUGGAUCCCCCACGGAACUGGAGAUACGGAAGGUUGUGAGCCAUCUUGUGGGUGCUGGGCAUUGGACCCAGCUCCUGUGCAAGAGCAGCCCGGGGCUCAUAGCCAGUGAGCCAUCUCUCCAACCACCUCAUUCCACCAUACUCCUUCCUGUUCUUUCUUUUUUUCUUGCUUCUUUGUAACCCACCGCAAUACAUAAAACAAUAGCUGCAAUAAUGCCACACUCACCAGACUCCUCCCUGCCCUUGGGGGGCGGCGGGGGGGGGGGUCGUCAUUCCUUUGCCCUCUUCCCCUCUUCCAUGAUUCUCCUUGAGCCUCGGUGACAGGGUGUUGGGAGCCGCGCCCACAUUCGCCGUUACAAGAUGGCGCUGACAGCUGUGUUCUAAGUGGUAAACAAAUAAUCUGCGCAUGUGCCAAGGGUAUCUUAUGACUACUUGUGCUCUGCCUUCCCCGUGACGUCAACUCGGCCGAUGGGCUGCAGCCAAUCAAGGAGUGACACGUCCGAGGCGAAGGAGAAUUCUCCUUAAAAAGGGACGGAGUUUCGUUUUCUCUCUCUCUUGCUUCUUGCUCUCUUGCUUCUUGCACUCUGCUCCUGAAGAUGUAAGAAUAAAGCUUUGCCGUAGAAGAUUCUGGUCUGUGGUGUUCUUCCUGGCCGGUCGUGAGAACGCGUCUAAUAACAAUUGGUGCCGAAUUCCGGGACGAGAAAAAAACUCGGGACUGGCGCAAGGAAGAUCCCUCAUUCCAGAACCAGAACUGCGGGUCGCGGUAAUAAAGGUUCCCGUAAAGCAGACUGUUAAGAAGGAUUCAACUGUAUGAAUUCAGAACUUUUCAGCUGGGGAACGAGAGUACCAGUGAGUACAGCUUUACGAGUAUAUGUUACAGAAUUGGAUGGCUGAAUUUGAACAGAUCCUUCGGGAAUUGAGACUUCAGGUCAACUCCACGCGCUUGGACCUGUCCCUGACCAAAGGAUUACCCAAUUGGAUCUCCUCAGCAUUUUCUUUCUUUAAAAAAUGGGUGGGAUUAAUAUUAUUUGGAGAUACACUUUGCUGUGGAUUAGUGUUGCUUCUUUGAUUGGUCUGUAAGCUUAAGGCCCAAACUAGGAGAGACAAGGUGGUUAUUGCCCAGGCGCUUGCAGGACUAGAACAUGGAGCUUCCCCUGAUAUAUCUAUGCUUAGGCAAUAGGUCGCUGGCCACUCAGCUCUUACAUCUCACGAGGCUAGACUCAUUGCACGGGAUGGAGUGAGUGUGCUUCAGCAGCCCGAGAGAGUUGCACGGCUAAGCACUGCAAUGGAAAGGCUCUGCGGCAUAUAUGAGCCUAUUCUAGGGAGACAUGUCAUCUUUCAUGAAGGUUCAGUGUCCUAGUUCCCUUCCCCCAGGCAAAACGACACGGGAGCAGGUCAGGGUUGCUCUGGGUAAAAGCCUGUGAGCCUAAGAACUAAUCCUGUACAUGGCUCCUUUACCUACACACUGGGGAUUUGACCUCUAUCUCCACUCUCAUUAAUAUGGGUGGCCUAUUUGCUCUUAUUAAAAGGAUAGGGGGAGAUGUUGGGAGCCGCGCCCACAUUCGCCGUUACAAGAUGGCGCUGACAGCUGUGUUCUAAGUGGUAAACAAAUAAUCUGCGCAUGUGCCAAGGGUAUCUUAUGACUACUUGUGCUCUGCCUUCCCCGUGACGUCAACUCGGCCGAUGGGCUGCAGCCAAUCAAGGAGUGACACGUCCGAGGCGAAGGAGAAUUCUCCUUAAAAAGGGACGGAGUUUCGUUUUCUCUCUCUCUUGCUUCUUGCUCUCUUGCUUCUUGCACUCUGCUCCUGAAGAUGUAAGAAUAAAGCUUUGCCGUAGAA